CUUUAUUUCAAACCUUACAGAGAGAGGCUAUAGAGACCAGCCUCUUGGAUAAUGGCAUUGUCCUGACUGAAUCUCCACCUCCUGGCCUCUCCCACUUCCUCGUCGUCAUCAUCAUCAUCAUCAUCACCUCCUCUACAGGUGCUGCUAGGUGUCCUCUGUCUUUAUGCUCUUUGCUCUCCUACUUCUAAGGCUCGCCAAGUUCUGGGAGAUGAUGGGUCUGGAAUGCUUUCUAGUGAUAACAUGUCAGCCAGCUGCUGUUCCGUCUCUGCCUGCUCCUCCUCUCCUAUUAUUUCCCAACUUUCCCCCUCAUCUGCCUCUGAGCUCUGACCUCCAGCAAAGCACUGUUGUCCAUUUAUACUGUCUUCCUCUUCCUCCUCCCUCGAAGGGUCAGGAUGAGGAGGUGGUCUCCACCAUUCCUCCUCUGCCCAGUCCCUGACAGAUGGGCUACCUUCCCAGGUGGAUGAGCCCCAUCUGCCCCUCGCUUCCCUCUACAGCACGUGCAGAAACCGCCUUCUUGACCAUUGGACCCACUCUUGGUCUUGUCUGCUCAAUCCACCAGAGCCUGUCUUUGUGUGCUGAGGAAGUCCCUAACUCAUUGAGGGUUUAGCCAGCCAGUCGAAUCCAUUCCCAGGGUGUGGCCACUGUUGCAUGCUGACAGCUUCUAGGAGUCACAGGUGAGAACUGAGUGCAGGAUGGGGAACCAAGGUGGUCAAACUAUCCCAGAAGGAGCACAAUGUGUUCCCUUCACCAGAGGUACUACCCCUCCCCCAACACCCCCUCUCCAUGUAUACUGGCAGUAUUCCUUUGAAUAAUUUUGUGGCGUUCAUACGGAGCUCCCGGUUGUCUCACGGAUUAUUGACCCGUGCACCACUAAUCCACUGCUACCAACCAGGUCCUCCCCAGUAAAUCACUUAGCCCCUCAAUCAGUUUCUCAAGUUAACAAAGAAGAGUGUAGUUUAUUGCAGACACAAAUAAACUUUAACUGCAUUCAAAACGUUGUUACUCUUUACCUUCUUAGUCUUAUUUUUAUCCUGUCUCUAACUCUUCUACCUCCCCUCACAAAAGAACCAACUGCGCUGUCUCUCUAAUUCCAACUGUCUCCCAACUGCUCUCCCAACUGCCUUUUCCCAACCAACCAACCCAAACCUCGGGCUAAGCCCUUUUAUAAACAGGUAGGCUCCGCCUCUGGCUUUUCUAUUGGUCUACCUAUUAACUCUUUCUAUCCCCCUGUACAGACAUUUUAAAAAAGAACGGGCAAAUGCCACAACCAGAGAUUGGAGACAGUCACCAGGGGGGACAACCACCAUCACAUACACUCUGGUUUUGACCUCCUCGAAAGAAUUGCUGGCCUGCUCUUGGAAAGAUAAUGUUAAGGCCAUCUGCAUAUUUGUCGGCGCUUGCACUGGAGAACAUUUCAGUGGGUGUUUAUGUGAUCUGGGGCCACUGAGCUCAUCCUUGUUCCACUUUGUUUGAGGCUUCCCCUGCAUGUAAGUGGGAAUGUCUGC